rnacentral:misc_RNA from 1 species
AGCAGCCGCGGUAAUUCCAGCUCCAAUAGCGUAUAUUAAAGUUGUUGCAGUUAAAAAGCUCGUAGUUGAAUUUCGGGAUCAGUUGGUCGGUCGUGCCUCGGUACGUACUGGUCAAAUUGAUUCCUACCUUCUGACGAACCACGAUGUCAUUAAUUUGGUGUCGUGGGAAAUCAGGACUGUUACUUUGAAAAAAUUAGAGUGUUUAAAGCAGGCUCGCGCUUGAAUACAUUAGCAUGGAAUAAUGAAAUAGGACGUUUGAUUCUAUUUUGUUGGUUUCUAGGAUCGACGUAAUGAUUAAUAGGGAUAGUUGGGGGCAUUAGUAUUCAAUUGUCAGAGGUGAAAUUCUUGGAUUUAUUGAAGACUAACUACUGCGAAAGCAUUUGCCAAGGAUGUUUUCAUUAAUCAAGAACGAAAGUUAGGGGAUCGAAGACGAUCAGAUACCGUCGUAGUCUUAACCAUAAACUAUGCCGACUAGGGAUCGGAUGAUGUUAAUUUUUUCAAUGACUCAUUCGGCGCCUUA